AACGAACGCUGGCGGCAGGCCUAACACAUGCAAGUCGAGCGAGGACUUCGGUCCUAGCGGCGGACGGGUGAGUAACGCGUGGGAACGUGCCCUUUGCUUCGGAAUAGCCCUGGGAAACUGGGAGUAAUACCGGAUGAGCCCUUUGGGGGAAAGAUUUAUCGGCGAAGGAUCGGCCCGCGUUGGAUUAGGUAGUUGGUGGGGUAAUGGCCUACCAAGCCGAUGAUCCAUAGCUGGUUUGAGAGGAUGAUCAGCCACACUGGGACUGAGACACGGCCCAGACUCCUACGGGAGGCAGCAGUGGGGAAUCUUAGACAAUGGGGGAAACCCUGAUCUAGCCAUGCCGCGUGAGCGAUGAAGGCCUUAGGGUUGUAAAGCUCUUUCAGCUGGGAAGAUAAUGACGGUACCAGCAGAAGAAGCCCCGGCUAACUCCGUG
rnacentral:rRNA from 1 species